UACGGAGGGUGCAAGCGUUAUCCGGAUUUACUGGGUUUAAAGGGUGCGCAGGCGGAUAUGUAAGUCAGUGGUGAAAUCUCCAGGCUUAACCUGGAAAUUGCCGUUGAUACUAUAUAUCUUGAAUGCUGUGGAGGUAAGCGGAAUAUGUCAUGUAGCGGUGAAAUGCUUAGAGAUGACAUAGAACACCUAUUGCGAAGGCAGCUUACUACGCAGAUAUUGACGCUCAUGCACGAAAAGCGUGGGGAUCAAACAGG
rnacentral:rRNA from 1 species